ACACUAUAAACUUUCCGGUGAGAAACCUGGAUUCAGACGAAACUUCAAUGAGGUGAGUUUUCCAUUUUUUUUUACAUAUUUGGACUCCUUGCAACUUCCUCUUCUCAAAUUCAAGAUCUGAGAAACUUCAAAAAUCGAGUUCAAAAUCGAACUACACCUUUGAUCUUCUUUUUUUCCUCUUUGGUUGGUGAUAUGAUGUUA
rnacentral:lncRNA from 1 species